CCGGCCUGAGAGGGUGAUCGGACACACUGGAACUGAGACACGGUCCAGACUCCUACGGGAGGCAGCAGUAGGGAAUAUUGCUCAAUGGGGGAAACCCUGAAGCAGCAACGCCGCGUGGAGGAUGAAGGUUUUAGGAUUGUAAACUCCUUUUGUAAGAGAAGAUUAUGACGGUAUCUUACGAAUAAGCACCGGCUAACUCCGUGCCAGCAGCCGCGGUAAUACGGAGGGUGCAAGCGUUACUCGGAAUCACUGGGCGUAAAGAGCGCGUAGGCGGGAGAGUAAGUCAGAUGUGAAAUCCUGUAGCUUAACUACAGAACUGCAUUUGG
rnacentral:rRNA from 1 species